AUGCUUAACACAUGCAAGUCGAACGGUAACAUUUCUAGCUUGCUAGAAGAUGACGAGCGGCGGACGGGUGAGUAAUGCUUGGGAAUAUGCCUUAUGGUGGGGGACAACAGUUGGAAACGACUGCUAAUACCGCAUAACGUCUACGGACCAAAGGGGGGGAUCUUCGGACCUCUCGCCAUUUGAUUAGCCCAAGUGAGAUUAGCUAGUUGGUAAGGUAAUGGCUUACCAAGGCGACGAUCUCUAGCUGGUUUGAGAGGAUGAUCAGCCACACUGGGACUGAGACACGGCCCAGACUCCUACGGGAGGCAGCAGUGGGGAAUAUUGCACAAUGGGCGAAAGCCUGAUGCAGCCAUGCCGCGUGUGUGAAGAAGGCCUUCGGGUUGUAAAGCACUUUCAGUUGUGAGGAAAGGGGUGUAGUUAAUAGCUGCAUGCUGUGACGUUAACAACAGAAGAAGCACCGGCUAACUUCGUGCCAGCAGCCGCGGUAAUACGAGGGGUGCAAGCGUUAAUCGGAAUUACUGGGCGUAAAGCGUUCGUAGGCGGUUUGUUAAGCAAGAUGUGAAAGCCCAGGGCUCAACCUUGGAACUGCAUUUUGAACUGGCAAACUAGAGUACUGUAGAGGGUGGUGGAAUUUCCAGUGUAGCGGUGAAAUGCGUAGAGAUCGGAAGGAACACCAGUGG
rnacentral:rRNA from 1 species